GUAUCAGAAGUGCGAAUGCUGACAUAAGUAACGAUAAAGCGGGUGAAAAGCCCGCUCGCCGGAAGACCAAGGGUUCCUGUCCAACGUUAAUCGGGGCAGGGUGAGUCGACCCCUAAGGCGAGGCCGAAAGGCGUAGUCGAUGGGAAACAGGUUAAUAUUCCUGUACUUGGUGUUACUGCGAAGGGGGGACGGAGAAGGCUAUGUUGGCCGGGCGACGGUUGUCCCGGUUUAAGCGUGUAGGCUGGUUUUCCAGGCAAAUCCGGAAAAUCAAGGCUGAGGCGUGAUGACGAGGCACUACGGUGCUGAAGCAACAAAUGCCCUGCUUCCAGGAAAAGCCUCUAAGCAUCAGGUAACAUCAAAUCGUACCCCAAACCGACACAGGUGGUCAGGUAGAGAAUACCAAGGCGCUUGAGAGAACUCGGGUGAAGGAACUAGGCAAAAUGGUGCCGUAACUUCGGGAGAA
rnacentral:rRNA from 1 species